rnacentral:rRNA from 1 species
AGUGGGGAAUAUUGGACAAUGGGCGAAAGCCUGAUCCAGCCAUGCCGCGUGUGUGAAGAAGGUCUUCGGAUUGUAAAGCACUUUAAGUUGGGAGGAAGGGCAUUAACCUAAUACGUUAGUGUCUUGACGUUACCGACAGAAUAAGCACCGGCUAACUCUGUGCCAGCAGCCGCGGUAAUACAGAGGGUGCAAGCGUUAAUCGGAAUUACUGGGCGUAAAGCGCGCGUAGGUGGUUUGUUAAGUUGAAUGUGAAAUCCCCGGGCUCAACCUGGGAACUGCAUCCAAAACUGGCAAGCUAGAGUAUGGUAGAGGGUAGUGGAAUUUCCUGUGUAGCGGUGAAAUGCGUAGAUAUAGGAAGGAACACCAGUGGCGAAGGCGACUACCUGGACUGAUACUGACACUGAGGUGCGAAAGCGUGGGGAGCAAA